UACAGAGGUCCCAAGCGUUGUUCGGAUUCACUGGGCGUAAAGUGUGCGCAGGUGGCCGCGCAAGUCGAGUGUGAAAUCCAUGGGCUUAACUUAUGGCUUGCUUUCGAUACGGGCAGACUAGAGGUAUGCAGGGGAGAACGGAAUUCCUGGUGUAGCGGUGAAAUGCGCAGAUAUCAGGAGGAACACCGGUGGCGAAGGCGGUUCUCUGGGCAUGAUCUGACGCUGAGGAGCGAAAGUGUGGGGAGCGAACAGG
rnacentral:rRNA from 1 species